CCUGUCUGCCGGGAGGAGCGGAAGGAGGCCUGUAGGUUGCGAGGCGUACCCUGACGUUGGCAGGGGCGAAAGCCUCUCGCGGCGCCCCCUCCCCAGCUCCUUCCGCGGUCCAAUGGGAGCGCGGCUCCCCCCUACCCCCGUGGGUAAAAUAAGCGCAUUGCAGUGAAUGACUGGCAGGCCGUUCAGCCUCCACGUGGACGCCAGGGGCAGAAUCGAGUUCUUAAAAAGGUGACAAAGCAAACCUUUCUACUGGAAUCGCUAUCAAAACAUUGGAAAAAAAAAGUUCGUGGACCCCAGGGUAAGAGCUUGUGGUCCGCGCACUGGGCUCAGCCAGGCACCUGUGUAUGACAGAACUGGAAUCCUUAGCUGCCAGACACUGCUCGUGGGUCUGCAGACUUUACCUGAGACCACUGACUACUGUUGACCCAUUGGAUGCAUCUGUAUGGCAGCUGGGUGGUACAGAAGAGUAACGAUCUGGAGAAAGGAAGACCCAAGUUCAAAUCCUGCCUCACACUUACUAGCUGUGACCUCAACCAAGUCUUCAGUCAUUUCCUCACCUGAGAUUGUAUCCAGAUCAAAUGAUCCAAUUGUAAAGUAUCCAAUAAACCUUGAAGUACUUUACUGAU